GAAAUGCGUAGAGAUCUGGAGGAAUACCGGUGGCGAAGGCGGCCCCCUGGACGAAGACUGACGCUCAGGUGCGAAAGCGUGGGGAGCAAACAGGAUUAGAUACCCUGGUAGUCCACGCCGUAAACGAUGUCGACUUGGAGGUUGUGCCCUUGAGGCGUGGCUUCCGGAGCUAACGCGUUAAGUCGACCGCCUG
rnacentral:rRNA from 2 species